ACAUAUUAUUUGGCUGGUCGUGUUAAAAACCGAACCGACAUUUUCGGCAAGCCACGCGCUUCUUCUUCCGUGCCGGAAUAAUCCGCGAGCUUCUUCUUCUUCGUGGCUUAUUGCUGCAUUGCGUAAUCGUUACCUAUACCGUAAGGGUGUUGUGUGCAAUUGCAUCGUGUUUUUUUGGUUUGAGUUAAGUUUGUCGAAAAAAAAGAUGGAGACGUCCAUCAGUCGAAUCUAUUCGGAAUUCUCGUUUCAUUUCGUCAGUGUUUAUCAACGAGUUGUCCAGUUUUACGGAUGGUGCAUGAGCCGGGCAGAUCCACGAGUAGCCAAAUGGCCGCUGAUGGCGUCUCCUGUUCCGACAUUGCUCAUCGCCAUGGCCUACCUCACGUCCAUCUAUUACGGAAGGCGGUUCAUGGCCAAAAGGAAACCGUUUUCCAUACGUGGUAUCCUGAUACCUUAUAAUCUGGCCAUGGCGCUACUUAAUCUCUACAUCGGACUUGAGCUGGCUGUGACGCAACAUCGCAAGCAAUACAAUUGGCUCUGUCAACCCGUCAAUUACUCUGAGGAUCCCGAUGAAAUUAGGAUCGCUUCGGCAUUAUGGUUUUACUACGUCUCUCGCCUGGUUGAAAUGCUGGACACCAUCUUUCUGGUGAUGCGAAAAAAGUGGCAGCAAUUGACUUUUCUGCACGUGUACCACCACUCGACAAUGUUUAUGCUCUGGUGGAUUGGUGUGAAAUGGGUUCCCGGCGGAUCAGCGUUCUUUGCAGCCAUGGUCAACAGUAUUAUUCACGUUGCCAUGUACCUGUAUUAUGCCUUGGCUGCUUGUGGUCCCAAGGUCCAAAAAUAUCUCUGCUGGAAAAAAUACCUCACUAUUCUCCAAAUGGCACAAUUUGUCUCAGCGUUGGUUCUGGGUGUGAGAGCCCUGAUUUACGGCUGUGACUUUCCCCUCUGGAUGCAGUAUGCCUUGGUGGUGUACAUGUCAUCAUUCCUCUUCCUUUUUGGCCAAUACUACAGAAAUGCUUAUCUUCUAAAGAAACAGGUUUGUUGGUGUGAGAUGUUUCAGGAUGUUCUCGGGCGACGCCAGUGACCGUCUGAUUGGACGGCAGACAAAUCACCUUCAGAGAAAUCUUGUUCGGCCCCAUGAAAUCCCGUUAACACGCCUUAGAACAGUAAUCUAAUCAGAAUUACACAAUUUAUCUCGCUUCAACAUUCCAAUAAAUUAAGUAUACACACAUUUAUCUAACCCCAUUUUUUGUAUAAGAAGUAUCAAUUCAAAUUAAAUUGGCGCUCAGAAAACGAUCCAUAUUAAUUUCUUGACAGGAAAACGGCUAAUGGUCCAGGCUUGCAGAUGUAAGGCUUGUUGGUUGCACACAUUUGCCACUUACAGUUAACCCCCUCCACCACCUUGACCGUUGUUGCCUGGUGGUCCUGUUGGCCCUGUCGGUCCUAUUGAACAAAUUAAUAUGUUAUUUUAUGGAUUUAUCCUGUUGAUUUCUUGGGUAAAAGAGUGAGAUUUCAUUCAAACCUAUAGGUCCUGGAGGUCCUGGAGGUCCCGUCGCGCCAGGUGGACCAUUUGGGCCGACAGGACCGGUUGCGCCAGGAGGACCCACUGGACCGUCGGCACCUAAAUCAAACAUGCACGAAUUUUAACAAACCAAUCCAAGAAAUAGGAAAACAAAAUUGAUCGCUUGCCUGUGGGGCCUGUCGGGCCAGUAGCUCCA
rnacentral:misc_RNA from 1 species